rnacentral:rRNA from 1 species
CUCGUAGGCGGUUUGUCGCGUCUGCUGUGAAAUCCGGAGGCUCAACCUCCGGCCUGCAGUGGGUACGGGCAGACUAGAGUGCGGUAGGGGAGAUUGGAAUUCCUGGUGUAGCGGUGGAAUGCGCAGAUAUCAGGAGGAACACCAAUGGCGAAGGCAGAUCUCUGGGCCGUAACUGGCGCUGAGGAGCGAAAGCAGUGGGGAGCGAACA